rnacentral:lncRNA from 1 species
UUAAUGGUGUGUCUACAAUGGGCUUAAAGUUUGAUCUAAUUAAAUCCUAUUCUAUAGGUUCACUAGAUUGUGUCGGUUGAUCUAUCUAUCGAAUUUCAUCAAGUUCAACCUUAGAUGCAUUAGUUUCUCAUCAAGAAACUCUUUUUCUAAAAAGAUUGUAUUAAGAUUGAUGAACACCUUUUGUUCAUCAGUAAGGUAAAAAUAAUAUCGCUUAGUAUUUUUUAGAUAUCCUAUAAUAUACUUGUCAGAUCUAGGUCCAAGCUUGUCUGUUAUUAAACGCUUGAUAUAAGUUGGACACCCUCAGAUCCUAAGGUGUGAGAGAACUGGCUUACACCCUGUCUA